AACUGUUCUUUCUUUUCACCUUUGACGAACAUCUCAUUCUGGUGUGCUCCCUUGUGGAUCGGUAGGAAGCUGCUACACAUUUUUUUUGGGGUCUGAAUACGAUACGAGUACUCUAAAAUUCCCCUGUUGAGGAUCGUUGAUUCUCGUACAGCGAAACUUGCCUUACUACUAGGUGGUUAGGUGUGAUUAAUUAGCACCAUUUGUAGAACUCGCGAAGUUAUAUCUUCAGUUAUGAACUUUCAUUUGCUCAUGAAAUUCAGUUACCAUCCGUCUAUGCAAAUCUACACAAGAAAGUCAUAAACCUUAUGUAUCUUUGCAAGCAUUUACCUGUAAGAUGUUGCUUAUAUCUGGAUUUACUUAUGUGUGUUGAAUUAGUAAGGUGGUAUGACAUGAGGACUCAGGCUUAGUCAACAUUCCUGCAGGUUUAUGCCAUUUUUCUUUCCUGAAAUACCUUUUCACUUUCCUGUGAUAAUAAUUAAUAUCAACAAAAUAGUUGUUAUAAUAGAGCCCUUGCAGUAGUAAAAACUGGCAUGUAGGUUAUUUUUAUGAGAUUUUGCACUGAAAAGUUGGCACUGUGUCUUACCCUCAUAAGUGUCUUUGAUUAAUAUGAGGUGAGGAUGAAAUGUUCUGUCAGAUGUGAAUUGCUGCUGUCUGGCAGGCAGAUCCACAUGUCUUGGAGAUUCAAUUCAAUUGCUUCAGUACUACUAGAGUGCUACUAGCUACUGUUGCCUUCGCUGUCUGCUAUCUACGGGUAGAUGAUUCGGACUUAAUUUCGGUGCUGUGUAGGUCAUGCGGUUCCGGUUGCUUUUACUUGACCAACCUUGCUGCCUACCUAAUCUGCAACUUUUACGGUGCCAUGACAAGAAAUAUACACAUGUUCCUUUCAACCACGACAAACUUCAUUUAUUUAUACUGUGUAAUGCUGAGUUUCCUUGUGAAUUCUGUGUCCUGAUCUGGUUUGGGUUGGUCGAAUCGCAGAUUGGCAAGGCCGAUGGUGAGAAGUGGAAGUACCUGAGUGAUGAUGUACCGUGGAAUAUGCCCAGCCACGUGGAAGCAACAACUCUAUUUCAAGGCCUCCCUCUACAUCUCCCUGUUCCGAUUUCCUUGGCUUAGUCCCUGAUUUCUGCUGCUCCAAAACUAAAUUUUAUUGUUUGCCAAUUAAGUUGCUUGCUUGAUGCCCCAAAAAUUCAGUGCAAUUUUGUUUACCAAUUGGUUUGGUUGGAUUUCUCCCAAGUUAACUGCUGUUGUUACAAAAUAGAUGGUUGUUGUCCAAUUGGUUCAGUAGAACAAAGGUAGAUGUCUGACAUGUGUUGUUUGCUGAUAAUUAACAAAGUUGGGGCGUUGUAUUGAGGUUAACCUGCGAAGAAUACUUGCUUAUGAUCCGACUGGACUUCUUUGAUAUGUCCAACUGAACUACAUAUGUCAAUUAUAUGUUGUUGUAUUAUGCUUAUGCUACUUGUAUCACCAGUUGUUGGCUUCGGUAGCUUGCUGAAUAUGCUUUAGUUAUAUAUAGAAAUGACGUGCCUUCUAUGCUUAAAUGAUUGUUUGGCUCUAUAUAAUUGUAGACAUGAAUAUCUUGACUUCCCAAACAAGUAUAGGACUGUACCUAUGCAUACAGAUUAUCCUAACAAAACUGAAAAUAAAAAUUGAAGCAUGAAAUAAGCAAUAAGUGGCUGAUUUUUAUUUGCAUGUUAAGCGGAAAGUUGUAGCUAAGGCUUGUAUAUUACGAAAUAUUGUCACACCUCUAAACUUCUACUGUUGUUAGGGACAUCGUAGUGUGAUCUUCAUGAUUUUUCGCUUGAAGAUGUACUGAUUCAUUAGUCAAGCAGAGACCAAAGUCAUCUUUUGCUACUGUUAACUCUAUGGAUGUGUAUUUACCUGCAACUUCUGCGAGCUCUAACUUGGUUAUAUAGCAGUUCAAUUUAGUCAAUCUGUUGGAACUAGUUUGUCUAUUACUUGUAUCCGAUUUCAUAUCCUGCCAUAUGCCAUUGUCGACUUUCUUAGGUACAUAAUUGUUUAUACCUUUCUUAGGUACAAAAGAACCUGGGCUGAAAAGCUAUUCAGAAGUAUUAUAAGAAGGCCUCGACUCAAAUAGAAAAUAGAAACAAAAAGGAAAUAAACUAUGUGGAAGGUAAAAGCCCAUUAUAGAAAAGGCCCAAAAACAUCAAGCAAAAAAUAUAUCCUAAAAGGCUGAAUUAAUGGGCUCGGCCCAUGUAAAACACCGAAUCAGAUCGGGCUCAAUCUUGUCAGUGACCUUUUCAAUUGGUCGCAAUUUUGCCACGUCGGAUCCGACGUGGCCUGGGCCGACAACCAAUGACCAAAACAGAAGGUCAUGGGUUCAAUGACCUUCUGAGAGAAGGUCAUUAAUUUCAAUUUACGACCGUCAGCUUUUGACCUUUUGUUUUUUGUCACAAAAAGGUCACAAAUGAAAAACUAUUACCUUUUAGAGGCCAAUAGUGAGGGUCACAAGUUGACAUGUUUUUUGUAGUGGCGCAACUCAUGUAUACUGAGAUAAUAGAGAAGAAAGAUAUGGAAGCAAAGCACAUCCAGACAGCAGUGAAGGUCAGAUGAAAUUAUGUCAUUCCUUAUGGGAAGGCUUGGAGGGCUAAGCAGAAGACUAUGGAGGAAAGGUUUGGGACGUUCUUUGACUCAUAUGAUAAUGUUGUCCGUCUCCUUGGCAUACUGAAGGAGAGAAAUCCCGACACUUAUGUGAAGGUACAACACAUGAGGUUGCUGAGUAUACCAGAUUUCAAGGUGUUGAAACGAGUGUUCUUCUCUUUCGCUAUUUGCAUCGAGGCUUUCCGGCAUUGUCCUCCUGUUAUGUUUGUGGAUGGUACACUCCUAACCGGCCAGUAUAGAGGGCAAAUUCUGACUGCUAUUGGUGUGGAUGGGAACAAUCAAAUCAUCCCACUUGCCAUGGAAUACAUCUUAUUGUAGCCGUGUCAUGGAAUACAUGGCAAAGAAGAUAGAGAAAACAAAGAAGCACACUGUCAGACUCAUAGGGAAUCAAGAAAGGAGGUAUGAGGUUCAGCUUCCUACCGAUGGUUUUGGUUCUAGACAUGAGGUAAAAAUUGGAACGGAAUUUUAUCCAACAUGUGAGUGUACAUGCAACAAACCAAAGUUGUUGCACCUAUCUUGCUCUCAUGUGUUGGCUGCAUGUGGCCAGAUUGAGUUGGAUGCUAUCUCCUUCAUGUCCCCAUACUAUUUAAAAGAGGCAGUUCUCAACACAUGGAUAGGUGAGAUGACAGGGUUUAGAGUCGUCGGCAAUUUCAACAAGGUAAACGACGGUGAGAGAGUAUACAUCCCGCAUCCAGACCUUCGGCGAACAAGUAGGGGCAGACGAAAGGCCCGUCGCAUCUGAAACGAUAUGGACCAAUCUGAAGCUGGUGGAGCAACCAGACAAUGUUUGUUAUGCGCGGCUUAUGGGCAUAGGAUGAAAUAUUGUCCCGACCUGAACAAAGAUGGUGUUUCCACAUCGACGGCUGCGACAACAGGAGCAAGAGGCGGACGUGGUCGUGGCAGUCGAGGCCAAAGGGGCGGACGAGGACGAAAUAACUCACAAGCUAUAUAAUGUGUCAGGACUAUGUUUUAAUUUGUAAUAUGUCAGGACUAUGUUUUAAUUUGUAAUAUGUCAGGACUAUGUUUUAAUUUGUAAUAUGUUAGGACUAUGUUUUAAUUUGUAAUAUGUUAGGACUAUGUUUUAAUUUGUAAUAUGUCAGGACUAUGUUUAAUUUGUAAUAUGUCAGGACUAUGUUUAAUUUUUUUGAUGUCCAUUAUUGUUGCAGCUCUGGUCAUACGAGAGAUUCCCUAUUGGAUGAUCCUAUGUCUACGUUGAUAAACCUUUUGGUUUGGAGGACUUAGCUAGGGCUUAUGUGCCUGCUAUCGGCGACUUGCCUACUAUGGGAUCUGUUUGGGCACGACGAGAGAGACAAUUUGCACAUAGCCAGGUUAGGGGAUGCUACCCGUCCUUCACGGGGCAGUUUGAUAGUUUGCAUGAGGAUCAAGUUAUCUGGGAGCCAUACUCGCCUCAGGCUAUAUCAUCGAGGUGCCCAGUUGGGAUUUUUGGAUUGUGCACUAGAGAUCAGUACUAUUGGAUGACCAAAGCCAAGUUGGUGUUCAAUGUGACGGUUGAGGAGAUGGCUCUUCAUAGGGUGAUGAGACAGUUCGGUCUAUAUCAAGAGCCUGAUAUUCCAGAUAUUCCACACUUGCCAGAACACGUGCAGAAAUACAGUCGCCUAGGAGGAAACAAGUCCAUGGCUUAUUGGCUUAAUAGCAUUACCCCUUAUUGGCUUAUUGGCUUAAUAGCAUUACCCCUUACGUUAACGAAUGGACUACCGCGCCGACAAAUAUCUGGGGUGAGGUUCGGCCCUUUAACUGGGAAAUGUUCGGGUUGUAUCUGCAGCGUUACCGGCAUACAACGAGGAUCUAUUGGUUCCAUCAGCUGCUCCUGAUCAGACUGAAGCCCCCUCUCACUAGCGAUAUGUACCCAACUAUCUCUGUUGUGGGA